GAGUGGGGACCCACCUGUCAUCCCUUUGCGCUGUCGCGGCAACAAACCACGCGAGAUCUGCAGCGAACUUUCCCCCUUUUCCGUCGGCGUCGUUGCUGGCGAGUUCAUACUCCGCUUGCCAUAAAGCUGUCAUGCGCCACCUCUCCUCUAGUAACCCUAACCAUCCGAAUCCUCUAACCUACGAAGAACCAAGAGCCUCACCCCAGCUGGAGGCCGCCGCCAUUGACUUCCCCGUACACCGCCGUAGAAACCUAUUGGCCGUGGUCUGGGCUUCCCCAGAGACAUCGUGUGACUACCCGUGGGAAUUCUAGGGCUGGAUUGCCGAUCCAGCCGCGGCAAUUUCUUGUCGGAGCACCGUCUCCGCACCUCUUCGUGUAUUGCGCCAUCAUCAUCACGGACUCGGGUGAAGAGUAGGUAGCCCAGGAGGAGGUCCACAACGAGGAGUACGAGCUUAUCUAGGUGGCGUCUCGUAGUCAGCUUAUGGUGCCAAGGAAUAAUUAUUAGUUCACUUUACUGUUAUCACUUAUUUUUGUAAGACUCUUCCGCUAUGUAAUAAUAAUAUUUGUGACAUUUAUCUCUAUACACUUGGUCAUUA